CGCAUUCUUGACGUGAUUUUUGGCUCCAUACCAUGUAAAGCUCUGCGAUGUGAGGGACGAGUCUGCGGUCCGCAUGUGUGUUCUGCGACCACGUACUAGACCGCAUUUUGGCAAUUUGUGCAAAGUCAUGCUCUUUUCCUCUCUUUUUGCGUCCAUUUUCAUAUCCUUGGUGUUCCCUUCCGCUUGUGCUGUAAGAACAACAAAUCUACAUGAGUAUUAGUUAUAAUUGCAUUAAAACAAGAUAGAAUCUAAGCAAUUAGUAUUGAAAUGCGCCGAAAUUCUUCGGCACAUCACCUAGUGGCCCCAAACCAUUAUGUCUUGCUCCCCACUUACUUAUUAGUUUGAUAGCAUUUAAUUCCCUACUUUCAGGUUGCUAAUAUUAACCUAAUUCCCUAAUAUUUUCAUUCCCAAAUUGCCCCUGAAACCCCCUCACUAUUAAUUCCCCAAACCAAUAUGUUCAAACCUAAAGAGAAUUACCUAAAACUAAUUCUAAUUAACAGCUAUAACCAAUCUUCCUGACCAAAUUCAACCAUUGAUUCAUUAAGCAAAAGAUCAAGAUCAAAAUGGCAUCAAAACAAUGAGUUGAUCAUAUUGAGAAAAGAACAAACAGAGAGACAAUAAGCUAAACUGAAAUAGUAUAAAUGGAGGAAUGAGCUUAUCACGUGAAAAACUAAAGAACAGGGAUGGCAUAGCAAUAGGGAACGGGCAAACACAACUCUAACUCAAAUAUACAUACAAGAUGCAGCAUUGUUGAAAGUAUAUUUGACACGGAAUUCCCUUAAGCGAGGAACACAAACAGAAACACAGCUUAACAAGGACAGUUCGUAGAGAUCAAAAAAACUACAAAAGAUGACCUAAUUGAUGAAAUUUAAUUGAUCAACUACAUAGUUUAUAACAUAUAAUCACCAGUUAGAAAAUUUGGACCAAAGAAAAAGGUCCGUAAAAGGGGGAGGAGAAAAUAGCUGACAAAAAUAAUGAAAUUAAUACAACAGUACAAACAAAUAACAAUAUACCCAAAAAUAGAACAGACAAAAGAAAGGAAAAAUACCUCAUGAACUCAUAAACCAUACGGACUCGACUUGAAACUCUCACUUGAGACUUUUUGGGGUAAAAAUUGACUUUUAAUCGAGUGUUCUCGUCGACUAAAGUCGAUUGAGGCUCUCGUUUCUUUUAUUUUGGACAAAUUCCAGCCUGGGUCUUGUCUAGGGUUUAUACAGUUCGAUUUGGGAUUCGAAAGAUUCCGACAUGAUUCGAAGGGAACCAGUGGUGGUUCAGAGGUGAGGGACGCCUAGUGGAUAUCUGGUGUGAGUUUGGGGUGGAUUGGGUUUGGUUCAUGGUUUUCCGAAUCUUCGAUUACAGAUUCGAGAAGCUGGGGGGAAGAUUCGAAGUAACGGUUAAUGGAUUCGUGUUCAGGGUGGUUAGAAGUACCUAGGGUGUUGGUUUGGUUACUGGCAGCGUCGAUUCCGCCGGGUUUCAGGCGGAUGAAUAGGGUGGCGGCUAGGGUUUAGCCCUUGAUUGUCUCUGAGAGAGAGAUGAUGAAUAGUGGAGUGGGG
rnacentral:lncRNA from 1 species